AUAAGCGCUGAAAGCAUCUAAGCGCGAAGCCCACCUCAAGAUGAGAUUUCCCUCUGACUUGUUCAGGUAAGACCCCUUGUAGAUGACGAGGUGGAUCGGUCCGAGGUGUAAGCACAGCAAUGUGUUUAGCUGACGGAUACGAAUCGGUCGAGGGCUUAACCUA
rnacentral:rRNA from 1 species